AGAUUGAACGCUGGCGGCAUGCUUUACACAUGCAAGUCGAACGGUAACAGGCCGCAAGGUGCUGACGAGUGGCGAACGGGUGAGUAAUGUAUCGGAACGUGCCCAGUCGUGGGGGAUAACGCAGCGAAAGCUGCGCUAAUACCGCAUACGAUCUAUGGAUGAAAGCGGGGGACCGUAAGGCCUCGCGCGAUUGGAGCGGCCGAUAUCAGAUUAGGUAGUUGGUGGGGUAAGGGCUCACCAAGCCAACGAUCUGUAGCUGGUCUGAGAGGACGACCAGCCACACUGGGACUGAGACACGGCCCAGACUCCUACGGGAGCAGCAGUGGGGAAUUUGGACAAUGGCG
rnacentral:rRNA from 1 species